rnacentral:rRNA from 1 species
GUCUACGGCCAUGCUACUCUGAACAAGCCCGAUCCAGUCUGAUCUCGGAAGCUAAGCAGGGUCGGGCCUGGUUAGUAUUUGGAUGAGAGACCACCUAGGAAGACCAGGUGCUGUAGGCG